rnacentral:lncRNA from 1 species
GUGUGCAACUUUCUAUCUUCCGUGCAUCCUCCGACUGUCAAGAAAUAUGAAGGGUGAAAAAAAAAAUCUUCAUUCAUUCCACUUAAAGCAAUACAUUGUUAUGGAACGUGUGGAUAAAGGAAUUUAUGCAGACCCACAGGACCUGGACAAUCAUAUAGAAUUUGGGGAGCAACACCUUUCGGACUGCCUAUCCACUUCCAUUUUAUGAAGAAGAAUGCCUGCACAUAGAGAAACUGUACUGUAAAAGUGAAAAUGUUAAUACGAGUCACAUCUCAAUCACUGAAAAGAAUCGGUGCGCUUCUCCUGACAUUCACUGCAAGAUAAACACCUAAAAGCAAGAUGAUGAAAACACUUCCUUUGUUUCAGGAUCGGUCAUUCUACCUCCUGUACUGGAAUCCCGGAAACUUGGAACUUGGAAGUUUCUGUUUCUGCUUGGAAUCAAACAGUUGUCAAGUUUGUUUCCGCAAGUCAUCACCGAAGAGGCUCUGCGAUCUCUGCUGCCCUCCUCUGGCCACCGGGCGGUACUGCAGGCACUGCAGGUUCCGCCUCCGACGCGGCCACGCGCCGAGCAACAUGGCUGCGCUGUGUGCACGUGGCUGCUUACCUGCAGCGCGCGGCGGGGUGCCCGGAACCGUGAGGCACCGCGACGUGAAGGUGCUCGGUUGCCCGGGACGGGACGGGACUGGUGGAAAAGCCCGUUCAGCAGCUCCUAGGAAAGUCGGCAGCGUGCCGCUUGGGGUGACCCCGGAGUUGCUCCGUGCCGGUCCCGGGACGCUCCGCUGCGCUGCUCCGGCAGCUCCACGCCACCACCGCGCGCCACCAAUCGGCUGCCGAGAGCGCUUUUGAAUGGCUGGGAGGCGGUGCAGGGCUGGGAGUGGACAGCGACGCCUGUCAUUCCACCGCGGCAAUGAGCCAAUCGGAUGCCGCGAGGUGCUCGGGGCAGCUGUGAGCCGAGCGGGUCCGUUCCCGGGACUGCGAACGUGGGCAGAGAUGAAAGACAGCGCGGGAUGGGCGAGGGACGGCGCAGAGAGCGGCAGCGGGGCGAAACAGAUGCUCACACUGCUCACGAACAGCUACAGAAAAGAAAGCCUCCAGCCCGCAUGGAGCAGCAGCGCGUGCAGUACCGAAUCCUGUUCCAUGGGCGGCAACGGCGAGGACCGCUGCGCUAGUGCGCGUGCGCAGUGCUGGGGCGCGCGGCUGACGGUCACGUGCCACGCCGAGCCAAUCGGGUGCCGCGGCCCGCGCAGGCGCCGCUGGCAGGAAAAGUCGUGCGUGGUCCCGGGAUCCGCUCGGGCGUAAAGCCGCCCGAGGAAAUCAUAGAAUCAUAGAAUUAGCUAGGUUGGAAAAGACCUAGAAGAUCAUCCAGUCCAACCAUCCACCUACCACCAACAACCCCACUGAACCAUGUUUCUCAGCGCUAUAUCUAAAUGUUUCUUGAACACCUCCAGGGACGCUGACUCCACCACCUCCCUGGGCAGCCCAUUCCAGCACCUGACCACUCUUUCAGAAAAGCAGUAUUUCCUAAUGUCCAGCCUAAAUCUCCCCUGGCACAACUUGAGGCCAUUCCCCCUCGUCCUGUCACUAGUUAUAAGAGAGAAGAGGCCGACCCCCAGCUCACCACAACCUCCCUUCGGGAGUUACAGAGAGCGAUGAGGUCUCCCCUGAGCCUCCUCCAGACUGAACCAUCCCAGCUCCCUCAGCCGCUCCUCAUAAGGCCUGUGCUCCAGACCCCUCACCAGCUUCGUCACCCUCCUCUGAACACGCGCCAGGGCCUCAAUGUCUUUCUUGCAGUGAGGGGCCCAAAACUGGACACAGUACUCGAGGUGCAGCCUCACCAGGGCUGAGU